GAUGAGUCACAGCAUUUUUUUGGCAUCACUCUGGCCUCCGGGAAGUGGAGAAUGUCAUUGUCAAAGUAUUUUUGAAUAUUUGCCUUCUCAGCGAGAAGAUGCUGUGAGAACACUCAGUCUCCCAAACAGAAGGAUCCUGGCAGGAGUAACUGCCCCAGAUGAGCCCCGGAUGUGGGGGAGGCCCUGAUGGUGGUGGGGGGGGGGGUCACAGCUGCCAAGGCCUCUCCUUAGAAGGACUCCCAAGUUCUAGGUAUCUGAGGGAGUCCCAGCCACCAUUCCAUACUCUGAAGCAGCAGCAGUGAACGGAUCCCAGGAAGGCCAGGGAGGUGCGGAGUGGGGAGCAGGCACAAGGUCCUGAGUUCAAUCCUUGGACCCACCUAUGCCAUGGUGCAGCUCUGGCCUCUCUCCUCUCACUCCCUACCUCCAGCUCAUUCGAUAAAAUAAACCUUUAGAGCCAGUGGGGAGCCAGGGCUUGAACUGGGAUCCUUAUGCUGGUCCUUGCGCUUUGCACCACCUGCACUUACCCCGCUGCGUUACGGCCUGACUCCCAGCAGAAAACAUUUUGAAGAGGCGUGGAAUCCUAGUGCUAAAACACAUACAGUCUGUGGGCCUCACACCAGCACAGUUUCACUGCCCCCAGGAAGGCUUCUGUUCUUUCAACAAGAGAAAAUGAGGAGCGAGAGAGAGAAGCUCUCCAGGCAUCUUGGGCCCCAGGAUAGGGCCAGUGCUAGAGCCUCGGCCCAGCACUAAGUGCAGCAUGUGCCUCCCUCAGAGAGCUAGGCAGCAAGCCGGCGUCUGGAGGAAGAGUCAAGAGCCUGCAUUUCUGAGCCAUGCGGUGACGCAAACCAGUGCUACCUUAAAUAGAAAAAUAUAUGUUGGUGGAGGGUAGAUAGCAUAAUGGUUAUGCCAAGAGACUCCCAUACCUGAGGCUCCGAAGUAUUAGGUUCAAUCCGCCAUACCACCAUAAGCCAGAGCUGAGCAGUGCUCUUGUUAAAAAUACG